AUCCUCUAGGAAUUGCAUCAGAAGAUUUUCAACUUGAGAGAUGUAUGUGACAAAAAUGACACAGAAAAUUUGUGCAUAUAUAACAGAUAUUUUAUUAGUGUGAAAAAAAUCACUGUAUGAAUGGCGAUUUAUGGAUCUGGCUAAAUUCGUACUCGACGCAUAAACAAGUUAACCUUCCCGCCAUGUUUUCACGAUAAUAAAUUUGAAAAUUUAAUGGCCGACUGCAAAUUCAGGGUCGCUGUAUCGUCAAGCGCUUUCAGGAAUAAAUUCCUUUUAACGGUGCGGUAAGAUAUUCCACGUGCGAAGGACUGUAACUGAAAGAUGAACGAUAACAAUGUCUGUGAUGCAAAACGCGAUACAGUGGCAGCGAUCAGUCGCUUAUGGCUGCUUCUAUUAUUCUACGUCGUCUACUGGAAACGGACAAUCUGCACCUCGUAUAAGUUGUUCAGGGCGAGCCUAAGCCUGAAUAAGAAAUGAAAUCCCAGUCGCUAAAUUAUCACCUUGGUAUAGAGCGAAGUAGUAGUAAAACGAAUGCUAAGCUUGAGUCGUCAUUUGUUGGCAAAGAACAUCGUGUUUCUCACCUUAUUCGCGAUUCCAAAUUGCGAUUGAGACAACACAGGAGAAUCAGUGAAAUCUAUGUAUCACGCAUGGAAAAAGAAGAUUCUUUCAAUUUUCAAAAACGCCUGGAAAACGAAUUGCGUAAUGUCUCGCCUGAUAUAACUCCAGAAGUAUCAUAGACAGUGAAAUUUCUUACGGUACACAUAUUUCCAUAGCAGGAUUGUGAACUUGUUUUUAUGACGGUUACUUUUUGUCAAAUUGACCAUAGUUGAAAUAUAUUUAACCAUAUUUGAUUAAAACCA